CACUCGUCCUUCCCAAAAUAGUGCCGAGCACGUUUCCCCUGGAACACCGCAGUAGCCCGUGUGUGUCGAAAUUACAAACCAGGGGCGACCGGGUGUGUGUGCCGGAGCGGGGAGCGCGUGAGGAGUGGGACCUCAGGGGCCAGGGGCGAGGUGACCGCCAAUGAAACGCAGAGGGCAAAGGGACCGGUCUAUUUCCCAUCUGCAAAAGGAGAACUAAGGAUGGGUUACAGGUUGAAAAAAGAUGAAGCGUUACCUCCGAAGUCCGGCCGCAAGCGAAUGUCAUAUCCUUUGAGCAAUCUGUCCACUGUCUCUUUCACGUAUGACAUGUUGCUGGGUUCAUUGGUGCUAAGGGGAAGAAGUAGGGACCGUAUUCAAAAUGAGCACAAACUGUGAGCACAUAUAAAAAGAUACAGGCACACCUACCCACAAACAACAAGAUACAUGAUCCAGCAGACACGUAAAAAGAAACAUACCAAGAAAAAAAGAGAGAGAGA